CUUGUAAUCUGUGAAAGAAAUAAAAAGAUUAAGAACCCACGAUCUGAUAGGCCUGAAUUCACAGCCUGGCGACGUCACCAGGAGUUGUGGAACCGUAGGCAAGACACUUAACUUCGUAGAUGUUUCACAUCCAUAUGAACAGGAUCAAAAUUCCUACUCUAGAGAAGCUUUGUGAGUGAUACUGUUUGCAACAUGCUUCAAUGGGCAUUUCAGGCAUUCAACUAGAUGGGCAUUAUUUUAAUAUAAUAAUGAGCCAAAUCUAAUAGCUGCCUAUUUUUCCUAGGUAAACUCAUAUACUCCCGUGACCUCAUUUACCAUCUGAGAAAAAAUCACAGCCUUCUAAGGUGAAAGACAAGUUUAAAGAACUCCCAUUAGCAACGGAAGCAAGAGUUUCUUUCUUGAAGGAAAGGAUUGACAGAGUAGCAAGUCGGAGACAAAAAGUUUAUGUUGUGCGCUGAAUAAUACCGAAAUGCACCAGCACUGCCGGUGAAGGAAGAAGUACGUAAAAGCAAGGAAGAGAUCGGACUAGCCAUGGAUACAAAACUUACCUCGGGAUACAAACGGAAAACCGACCACACGCCAUCGCAUUUACACAAAAGCAAGCACAAAGAGAACGUGUUUCCCAAUCUAUUGACUUCCCUUUGUUGACAAACCUGCAGGGCAAGAAUGCAGUAGUGUUCACAGUUUACCCAGUCAUCAAUUGCUCCGAAGCAAAGCUUUGUGCCCAAGAAUGAAACAUCCUCAGCCCUCACAAGUACUCAGCUUAUACAGAAGGGAAGGUAAACAUAGGUGCUUCACAAGGGGGUCUGAUGCCAAAAAUGAAUGCAAGUCAGACGGGAUUGAAAGGGGUUUAGGAUCACGAGGCAGAAACAUGUAAAAUAUUUCAUGCAGCCAGCCUUAUUUAUUGAGAAGUCCUAAUUUUAUUGCCCAUUUAGUAACAUGUUUGUUCCACAAACUAAUUUCUCAUAAAGCAAAGCACAACCUUUUCUUAUAAAUAGUAUAAAUUAUUUUAUUUACAGAAACUUGUUACAAAACAAAUAGACUAUAUAUUUCUUCUCUUUUAAAUAUCCAAAGUAAUUUUCUAUCCCUUGACAUUUGUUCAUGUUUCUAUACAGCAGCCAACACGAAGUCCAGCUGAGAUGCUCUUGAUUAUGUGUACAAAUUAUCACACUAUUCACACAUUUCAACACAGGAGAUUGCUUUUAUAACCAAGCUCAAAAAAACAGCAAAAUGCUUUUCAAGGCCCUACAUUCACACUGACAGUAUGUAGUGCUCAUUUAAAUGAUCUGAAAAUGUAAAAUGUUUUGCACAAAAUGUAAAAAUGAUUAUUUUCUGUUAAACAAUGAAACUUUUCACAAUCAUUUCCAAAGCCCCCCACCCUCCCACCCCCCCUUCCCCACCCCGGACAUAAUGAGACAGUAAGAAAUUCCUUGGCAACAGAACUCUUGCAGGAAGACAGCUGCCUUUAUAAGUUACAUUUUUCAAAUUAUACAUUUUGCAAUGUUUUCAGAGGUACUUUGUAUUAUAUUUUUGGAAUAGAAAAUAUUUUAAAUAUUCUAUUUUAAACUCUGUAUUUCAUGAGUGAAUAACAAAACGGAUAUAUCAUCUAAGUUGCUGGCUGACAAAACAGAUUUGUAACCCUUGCUGCCACCGGGCAAUACGUCACCAGUUGAAUUACCGUGAACCAAAAGGCCUUAAUUUUAAAAUACCUUAUAAAAUUACCAGCAUCGGUGGUUUUCAACCCCUCCCCUAAAAUUUUAGAAACAAUAUUAAGGUGGAAAAAGCAAACUCCAAAGGUUUCAACUGAACAUUCAAGUCUUUUUAAAGAAUCUGUCGAAGCUUAAAACUAGGUUCAGGCACUUUUUCCGUUAGUUUGAAACCACAUCACAGACUAACACACAUGUGCUCAGAGCGUACACACACACACACAGGCACGCACGCACGCACACGCACACUCACACACAAAACACUAACGAAAGAAAAGCAGUGUGUCACUUAGUUACAUGUAGUCUAUCGGGAAAUCAGGCAACUAGAGAGAAGCAAUGCCCACUUCGUCUGUACGAAUCCACUCCCGAGACAUGAAAAGGGACAACAAGACUUUCACAGAACAGAGGCAUCCCUUAAACUGUAAAGGAGGCAGGUUCUAGAACUAUUGGCUUGGCAGUGAACCACUUCAAAUUAUAAAAAGGUAUUUACUUUUAUUAAUUAAUAAAUAAAUACUAGAUGAUCUCAAUUGUACCAAAACAGGAUAUCAGAAAAAAAGACCUGUGCAAAAAUACAUAUUUAAAUAUGUACAAUUCAUUUUUAACAAAAUAUGUCUUCUGAAAUAGGGAUACUUCCAUAUUUAUAAUAGAACAAGAAAUUCCAAAAUAAAGAUACAAAAGUAGGUUUUGUAGAAUUCUUUGUUCAUCAUUGCAGCACAUUUUUUUUUUUUUUUUUGUAGGUUAAGAAAACUGCAGGAGUUGUCAUGAAAUUCUAUUGGAAAGAAUAUAAAAAUUAUCUUGGUUUUAAAUUGAUACCAAAGUCUGUCUAGAAACAACCCAACCACUGCAAAUUUGGUUUUUGCAAGUUAAUUUAAUUCAAAAAAAUACUUGUACUCCCGUGUUUUAAAUGGUCUUAAUUGUUCAUUAUAAUAAAAAGUAGUUGUAGGAGAAAAUAAAAUAUUUGAACAGUCUAAAAUUUAAUAGCACUGUUUAGAAUAGGUCUGUUUGUGGCAGGCAGAAUCCAAAAUGGCUAAUUUCCUAAUCCCGAUCAUCUGUGUACUACCGGGAGACAUAAUGAAAUUCAAUUAAAACCUCAGUCUAAGAAAUCAAAUGAUCAACACUCGCUUAUCUAAAUAUCUACAUAAUUCUGAAUCAACUUGCUAUCAUGGGUCCUAUUCACAUCUUUCGGAACAACAUGAUCUGUCUAUAAAUUCCAUUGCUAAAAGCAACUUUAUUUAUAUCCAUCAAGUCCCCUUGGCUCUGAAAAUAAAUUCUACCCAUACCCCAUUGCACUUGUCACCCAGGAAUCAACUAAAGACGUUCUGAUUCCCCCUUACCUCCGUUCUCUCCCUCCACUGGGACGGAACAACCAGACUGAUUUCUCCUAACUGCACCAAACUGGCCCAUCCACGCGCUCUCCUUAAUAAGCUCUCCUAUAGUAUCAUUUUUUAAAAAUAUUUACUGAUUGCAUAAUAA